GCACUGAAGAGGCCACCUUAUUUCAUAUGUAUGACUAAGGUGUAGCAAAGGCUAGUGACAUCACAAGAGAGCCCCACCCAGCUGCUAAGCCACACCCCUUUGUAGUCACAAUGGCUAAGACCUUAAAUACAUGGACUCCUGACCCUGCCGGCCUUGCAAAGCCCCUCAUUUUGCCAGAAAUUACAAUGUCGACCAGCCGCAAACUAAAGAGUCAUGGCAUGAGGAGGGGAAAAAACCGAGCUCCUCACAAGGGUGUCAAGAGAGGAGGCAGCAAGAGAAAAUACCGGAAGGGCAGCCUGAAGAGUAGGAAACGGGGCGAUGAUGCAAAUCGCAGUUACCGCUCCCACUUGUGAUGCGGCAAUGAACUCUGCCCUGGUGGACUUCGAACAACACCAGGCAGCAACUGAGAACAUCAGAGGGGGACUGCCAAGGAGAUCAAGUUAGACCAAAGCCAGAAAAAGAUCCUAUCGAGAGUGGGUAAAAUGCCAGUCGUGACGAAAUAAGGAAAAGUAUAUGUUGGCUGUUUCUCCCCAACAUCUCAAUAACAUUUUGAAAACAAAUAAACUUGUGAAAACUGAAAA